rnacentral:tRNA from 1 species
GGGGUUGUGGCUCAGUGGUAGAGCGCUUGCUUCCCACAUGUGAGACCCUGGGUUCGAUCCUCAGCACCACCC